AGUUUGAUCAUGGCUCAGAUUGAACGCUGGCGGCAGGCCUAACACAUGCAAGUCGAGCGGUAGCACAAGAGAGCUUGCUCUCUGGGUGACGAGCGGCGGACGGGUGAGUAAUGUCUGGGAAACUGCCUGAUGGAGGGGGAUAACUACUGGAAACGGUAGCUAAUACCGCAUAACGUCUUCGGACCAAAGUGGGGGACCUUCGGGCCUCACGCCAUCAGAUGUGCCCAGAUGGGAUUAGCUAGUAGGUGGGGUAAUGGCUCACCUAGGCGACGAUCCCUAGCUGGUCUGAGAGGAUGACCAGCCACACUGGAACUGAGACACGGUCCAGACUCCUACGGGAGGCAGCAGUGGGGAAUAUUGCACAAUGGGCGCAAGCCUGAUGCAGCCAUGCCGCGUGUGUGAAGGAGGCCUUCGGGUUGUAAAGCACUUUCAGCGAGGAGGAAGGGUAGUGUGUUAAUAGCACAUUGCAUUGACGUUACUCGCAGAAGAAGCACCGGCUAACUCCGUGCCAGCAGCCGCGGUAAUACGGAGGGUGCAAGCGUUAAUCGGAAUUACUGGGCGUAAAGCGCACGCAGGCGGUUUGUUAAGUCAGAUGUGAAAUCCCCGCGCUUAACGUGGGAACUGCAUUUGAAACUGGCAAGCUAGAGUCUUGUAGAGGGGGGUAGAAUUCCAGGUGUAGCGGUGAAAUGCGUAGAGAUCUGGAGGAAUACCGGUGGCGAAGGCGGCCCCCUGGACAAAGACUGACGCUCAGGUGCGAAAGCGUGGGGAGCAAACAGGAUUAGAUACCCCGGUAGU
rnacentral:rRNA from 1 species